rnacentral:rRNA from 1 species
GAUUGCAGGCUGCAACCCGCCUGCAUGAAGUCGGAAUUGCUAGUAAUCGCGGAUCAGCAUGCCGCGGUGAAUACGUCCCCGGGCCUUGUACACACCGCCCGUCACACCAUGGGAGCCGGUAAUACCCGAAGUCAGUAGUCCAACCUCGUGAGGACGCUGCCGAAGGUAGGAUUGGCGACUGGGGUGAAGUCGUAACAAGGUAGC